UGAGCAAUCUGCCCUUCUCAUCGGAAUAAGCGUUGGAAACGACGUCUAAUGCCGAAUACGACCUCCUUUCGCAUGAUCGGAGGUGGAAAGCUCCGGCGGAGAAGGAUGAGCUCGCGGCCUAUCAGCUAGUUGGUGUGGGUAACGGCCCACCAAGGCGACGACGGGUAGCCGGCCUGAGAGGGUGACCGGCCACACUGGGACUGAGACACGGCCCAGACCUCCGUACGGGA
rnacentral:rRNA from 1 species